UACAGAGGUCUCAAGCGUUGUUCGGAUUCAUUGGGCGUAAAGGGUGCGUAGGCGGCGCGGUAAGUCAGACGUGAAAUCCCUCGGCUUAACCGGGGAACUGCGUCUGAUACUGGAUGGCUUGAGUUCGGGAGAGGGAUGCGGAAUUCCAGGUGUAGCGGUGAAAUGCGUAGAUAUCUGGAGGAACACCGGUGGCGAAGGCGGCAUCCUGGACCGACACUGACGCUGAGGAGCGAAAGCCAGGGGAGCAAACGGG
rnacentral:rRNA from 1 species